CUGCUGAAGAGUUCUAUAAUAGGACGAAACGGCCGUCAAGCAG
rnacentral:hammerhead_ribozyme from 1 species